rnacentral:rRNA from 1 species
UUAUGGCUCAGGAUGAACGCUAGCUACAGGCUUAACACAUGCAAGUCGAGGGGCAUCAUGACGAUAGCUUGCUAUGUUGAUGGCGACCGGCGCACGGGUGAGUAACGCGUAUCCAACCUUCCCCUUAGUAGGGCAUAGCCCGGCGAAAGUCGGAUUAAUACCCUAUGUUAUUCGUAGAGGACAUCUGAAAUGAAUCAAAGAUUUAUCGCUAAGGGAUGGGGAUGCGUCCGAUUAGGUAGUCGGCGGGGUAACGGCCCACCGAGCCUUCGAUCGGUAGGGGUUCUGAGAGGAAGGUCCCCCACACUGGUACUGAGACACGGACCAGACUCCUACGGGAGGCAGCAGUGAGGAAUACUGGUCAAUGGGCGUAAGCCUGAACCAGCCAAGUAGCGUGCAGGAUGACGGCCCUAUGGGUUGUAAACUGCUUUUAUACGGGGAUAAAGUGAGGGACGUGUCCCUUAUUGUAGGUACCGUAUGAAUAAGGACCGGCUAAUUCCGUGCCAGCCGCAGC